UCUUGAUGAGGAACACGAGGUACUGCAGCGACUCAAAAUGGGAAGACUGGCGAAUUGGAUUUUGGGAUCUAUUCAAAUGUUGGAAAAACACAGCAGAGGCGGUGAAUGUUCUAGAAAGGCUCAAGAAUCACGCACUUAUCACUGAAGAAGAUUAUUCUUAUUCAGGUGCACGGUGUAAGAGGUACAGGAUUCAUGAUGCAGGCCCCAAGUGUUAUUUCAAGGCUGGGUGGUGGCAGAGAGAUGCGGGGACGCCUUAAUGAAAGAACAGGAUCAGAGUCUCCAACACCACUUGCCUGCCCCUGGAUCAAAAUCCCGCUCUCACUGCAUUGCCAAGCCUCUCUCUUUUCAAAAGCUUCAAGGUACUUUGCCUUAAAUUCACUGGCCACAUAGCAUUCAAGAAUUUAGAGACCCUGGAUUCGUCCUGGGAUGAAUCACUCGAAAGCAUUCCAGGUCCACUCGGAAAGCUGACCAAAUCUGGACUUGACAGGUUGUCACAAGCUAGAGCAUUUCCCUGUCGAUGCAUUGCUCAAACUCACCAAGCUGGGAUACCUUAAUGGGCUGAACAAUUCAGCAAUGCCACGAUGCUGCAUCAUCAACUUUUCAAACAUAAGAAAUGCUCAAAUCGGAAGCUUGAUGGUCCACAAGGACAAGCAUCUCGAUGGAAUGUUUCAGGCCUUCACAAAGUUGGAGGUGUUGAUUAUUGAGACAACGCUGGCCGUGGAGCUACCUACAAGUAUAAGCAAACUCUCGCAUUUGAAGGAGUGGAAAUUAACUGGUUACAUAACACGAUCUUCAACGGUUGACCAACCUUGAAAGAUUGACACUGUGGGACGGGACUGGAGCAGAUUUCUGAGGUUGUGGAAGUGGGAGGGUUUGGGGAAAGUGAGUUUAAGGUCACAUGGAGAAUUUAGGUACGUAUCACCUUGAGGAGCUUCCUUCUUUAACAGAAGAAACGUUUCCCAUGGUGACAAGGCGAUAAGGGUAAGCAUCCCAAAUAACACUUUUCAGUCCGAUAUCGUUACUCCGUUGCAGUAAGAUCAGAGAAACUUUCUCUAGCUUUGGAAAGAACGAGGUGGAGAGGUCCUUCAAGGAGUGACAGCUACCGAUGUUGAGGACCGCCAUGGUUGGCAGCCGAAUCAAGUUUUGGCAAUUCCAAAGGGAGAGGCAGGUUCCUACGACUUGAAAAAAUAUCGCUUGAGGAAUAUGAACAUCUUCCAGAUGUCUCUCUA